UUUCCAAGCGGAGGCAAUGACCUGCGGUCCGUAUGUGGGCGCCUGGACUGUAGAAAGCCGCUGGUGCAACCGGCCGCUGCACU
rnacentral:ncRNA from 2 species